rnacentral:rRNA from 1 species
AUGACUGUAGGUGAAGACUUACAUCUCUUCGGAGCAUUUUACGUAGGUGCUGCAUGGUUGUCGUCAGCUCGUGCCGUGAGGUGUCGGGUUAAGUCCCAUAACGAGCGCAACCCCUACCUUUAGUUGCCAUCAGGUUAAGCUGGGGACUCUAAAGGAACUGCCUACGCAAGUAGUGAGGAAGGUGGGGAUGACGUCAAAUCAGCACGGCCCUUACGUCCAGGGCUACACACGUGCUACAAUGGCCGGUACAAAGGGCAGCUACCUGGUGACAGGAUGCUAAUCUCAAAAGCCGGUCUCAGUUCGGAUCGGAGUCUGCAACCCGACUCCGUGAAGCUGGAAUCGCUAGUAAUCGUGGAUCAGCAUGCCACGGUGAAUACGUUCCCGGGCCUU